rnacentral:piRNA from 1 species
UGUUCUAAAGAUGCUGCCACCCCUC